GGGCCCGCACAAGCGGUGGAGCAUGUGGUUUAAUUCGAUGAUACGCGAGGAACCUUACCAGGGCUUAAAUGUAGAUUGCAUAAGCUAGAGAUAGCUUUUUCUUCGGACUAUCUACAAGGUGCUGCAUGGUUGUCGUCAGCUCGUGCCGUGAGGUGUCAGGUUAAGUCCUAUAACGAGCGCAACCCCUGUCGUUAGUUGCCAACAGGUUAUGCUGGGAACUCUAACGAGACUGCCGGUGCAAACUGAGAGGAAGGUGGGGACGACGUCAAAUCAUCACGGCCCUUACGUCCUGGCUACACACGUGCUACAAUGGUCGGUACAGAGAGCAGCCACCUUGCGAAAGGGAG
rnacentral:rRNA from 1 species